CAGGGAUAAAGUGGAGGGGUAGCCUUUGGUCACGUGAUCAGCACAGAACACCCGCUGUCGCUUCUGUGGUCACAAAACACUUCCCGCAGAACCUCAUUCUGAAGGCAUGUUCUCCUUUUCUUGCAGGUGAACAACUCAGGGAGGUUAAGUGGCUUGUCUAAUGUCACACUGCUGUUAAAUAGAGGAGAGGGAAUCAAACUCAGAUCCUUGGGCUCUGAGAUCUCAGCGAGUGUGGGCUACGUAGCAAGUUCCAUGCUAGCCAGGGCUAUGUGGUGAGACUAGGAGAAGGAAGCUGGCAUUAACGUCUCAAAGAUCAAGGAGAGGUAGGGGUUGGAAGAGUGGCCUUUGAAGUCAGGAAGAGGACCAGCCUGGCACUCUGUUAAACUCAUCACCUCUUACCUCACAUCAAGCUUAUUAUGGGGUAUCAGCACCUCCACUUUAGUGUUGAAGAGGCUAAGAGAUCAUCAGCUUGGUAAGGAACAGGCUUGGGACUGGGAUGUGUCAGAGUUGAGAACCUCAGGAGGUCUCCAUUCCCACCUCGGUUUCAAUGGAAAACUGGCCCUAGGCUUUUAGCCAGGGCUGGGGGUGUGGCUCGGCUGGUAGAGCGCUUGUCUAGCGGGGAGCCUCCCACUUGAACACUGCAUAAACCAGGUGGGAUGAUGGAGGACUGACUGUAACUGCAGAACUCAGGAAGAGGAGGCAGGAAGAUCAGAAGGUCAAAGUUCAUCCUUAACUAUGGAGCAAGGUCCAGGCCCGACUGGGCUGGCUAUACAUCCUUUGUAGCUAAUGGAUCUCUCCGGGCUCGGAGUCUGGGACAUUCCUCAGAAGCCUCCCCAUUAGGGGACUCAUUGGAUGACCCUCUUGUCCUUCGUGGGAAUGCUGAGA
rnacentral:lncRNA from 1 species